rnacentral:rRNA from 1 species
AGACCAACAGGGAUUGCCUCAGUAACGGCGAGUGAAGCGGCAACAGCUCAAAUUUUAAAUCUGGCUCACGCCCGAGUUGUAAUUUGCAGAGGCGGUCUCGGAGUCGUCCCCGGUCUAAGUUCCUUGGAACAGGACGUCGCAGAGGGUGAGAGUCCCGUACGCGGCCGGGUGCCUUCUCCGUGUGAGACCCCUUCAACGAGUCGAGUUGUUUGGGAAUGCAGCUCUAAAUGGGAGGUAAAUUCCUUCUAAAGCUAAAUAACGGCCAGAGACCGAUAGCGCACAAGUAGAGUGAUCGAAAGAUGAAAAGCACUUUGAAAAGAGAGUCAAAAAGUACGUGAAAUUGUUGAAAGGGAAGCGUUUACAGCCAGACUUGAUGGCAGUUGCUCAACCGGUCUCUGCCCGGUGCACUCUUCUGCUAGCAGGCCAGCAUCAGUUCAGACGGUCGGAUAAAGGUGUCGGGAAUGUGGCUCCCCCGGGAGUGUUAUAGCCCUUCGCACAAUGCGACCCGCCUGGACUGAGGACAGCAUUCUACGGAUGCUGGCGUAAUGGCUGUCAACGGCCCGUCUUGAAACACGGACCAAGGAGUCUAACAUCUAUGCGAGUGUUUGGGUGUCAAACCCGUGCGCGUAAUGAAAGUGAACGGAGGUGGGAGCUUCGGCGCACCAUCGACCGAUCCUGAUGUUUUCGGAAGGAUUUGAGUAAGAGCAUAGCUGUUGGGACCCGAAAGAUGGUGAACUAUGCCUGAAUAGGGUGAAGCCAGAGGAAACUCUGGUGGAGGCUCGCAGCGGUUCUGACGUGCAAAUCGAUCGUCAAAUUUGGGUAUAGGGGCGAAAGACUAAUCGAACCAUCAGAACCUAGUAGCUACUAGGUGGUUCAGACGGUACCCUAGGUACCGUAGCGAGAGCAACACUACCAAAUUGCGGGGACGUUUGGAAAUCCGUGGUUACCUUCUGGUGCUGAAAAGUUACCAGAUGAAUGGUUAAAAUUCCGCAGAUCAAACAAUCCGCAGCCAAUUCCGAUUUAAUCGGGUUGAGUUCACAGGCCAAAUGGUGGUGGGGGUAAUCACCCUUAAGAUAUGGUCGCUACUCACAUAAACCGUGAGAGAUUAAAG